GGUCGCUUAGCUCAGUUGGUUAGAGCGCGUGGAUCACACCCACGAGGUCGGGGGUUCGAGCCCCUCAGCGACCA
rnacentral:tRNA from 1 species